AUGGUGGAACAGAGGAACUCCAAGGACAGUGGACAAUGGUGGAACCAAAGAACUCCAAUAAAGGUUCACUGGAAAAAUGGCAACAUAUUUUUGUGGAGCUGUUGACAGCAAUAGCAAUUUCUGCAAGAGGCAUUGGCCUUUGUAAACUGGUCAAGCUUUGGCAUGAAUAAACCGGCCAAUUCAGUAAAGAGGACCCAAUGAUCAGGAUGAAGACAAGCAGAAGGUUGAUUUGUCUUUCUUCUGUAUAUUUAUGAAGCUGUUGAUCCUAUGGUAACCUUAUCCUUACCUCUGGUGGAGCAGGAGGAAGAGAAAGCAAGAAAGACAGAAACAGAGAAGCUGGUUUUACCCCUUCCCUUCCUCAGGGCGCCACAGCAUUCCCUAUAACUCUGGGGAACAGUGAGGAUGAUGCAAGAACAGAGACAGUUUCAAAAAAGAGUUAAGGUGUAAUUAAUUAAUUGGGACCCCCUGCCCACGGCUGUCAUUUUUAUUUGAGGUGACCUCAGCUCUCUUGCUGGAGUCUGAUUUUAGUCCUGGCUCCUUUUGCUUCCGUGUUACCAUUCUACUCAGUCCUCCUACAUCUUUAUUAAACCUACAUUUUCUGAAUGACCCAAAUUUGUUCUUAAAUAGUGCCG
rnacentral:lncRNA from 1 species